rnacentral:rRNA from 1 species
GAUGAACGCUGGCGGCGUGCCUAACACAUGCAAGUCGAGCGAGAAAUUUAUGAACGAAACUUCGGUCUAGCGAUUAAAUGGAAAGCGGCGGACGGGUGAGUAACGCGUAGGCAACCUGCCCCUUACAGAGGGAUAGCCUCGGGAAACCGGGAUUAAAACCUCAUAACACAUCAUAAACACAUGUUUGAGAUGUCAAAGAUUUAUCGGUAAGGGAUGGGCCUGCGUCUGAUUAGCUAGUUGGUAGGGUAACGGCCUACCAAGGCAACGAUCAGUAGCCGACCUGAGAGGGUAAUCGGCCACAUUGGAACUGAGACACGGUCCAAACUCCUACGGGAGGCAGCAGUGGGGAAUAUUGCACAAUGGGCGAAAGCCUGAUGCAGCAACGCCGCGUGAGCGAAGAAGGCCUUUGGGUCGUAAAGCUCUGUCGGAAGGGAAGAAACAAAUGACGGUACCUUCUGAGGAAGCCCCGGCUAACUACGUGCCAGCCGCCGCUGUAAGAC